rnacentral:sRNA from 1 species
UCCAUCGGCCCGAGCACGGGGCCGAAGCUGUAGGGAUCGAUGACGGUCCACUCGCCGCCGUCGUUGCGGGCGCGGUAGCGGAUGGGCUGCU